ensembl:miRNA mir124-3 microRNA mir-124-3
AGCGGGUUGUGUCUCUCCGUGUUCACAGCGGACCUUGAUUUAAUGUCUUACAAUUAAGGCACGCGGUGAAUGCCAAGAGAUGAUCCUCCAU